rnacentral:rRNA from 1 species
GCCUAACGCUGAACUGCAACUUGGAGAAGUGGCAAGUCUUCCAGUAUGGGGAGCAAAACGCUAUGGGUCAAGUCCGAUAUCUUUAGGAGAAGUCUUAUUGUGAGGGCGAGUUAUAUAACACCAUAGGACUGGCCGUCCCAUAUGAAAAGAUUAUAUUAGAAUUGAAUGAAGCUUUGUUUAUAUAUUGAUAAUGACAGUAUAUAUAUCGUGUCUUGACUAAUUGCGUGCCAGCAGUCGCGGUAAUACGUAAGAGACUAGUGUUAUUCAUCUUAAUUAGGUUUAAAGGGUACCCAGACGGUCAAUAUAGCUUAUAAAAUGUUAGUACUUGACUAGAGUUUUAUGUAAGAGGGCAUACUUGAGGAGGAGAGAUGAAAUUUCGUGAUACCAAAGGGACUCUGUAAAGGCGAAGGCAGCCCUCUAUGUAAAAACUGACGUUGAAGGACGAAGGCACAGAGAACAAACAGGAUUAGAUACCCAAGUAGUCUUUGCAGUAAAUGAUGAAUGCCAUAGGUUGAUUAAUAGUUAAUGUUUAUAGGCUAAUUAUUGGCUUAGCUUAGCAAACUAAUGCUAUAGACUAGACAUUAAAAAUUAUUUGGUCUAUAAAUGAAAGUGUAAGCAUUUCACCUCAAGAGUAAUGUGGCAACGCAGGAACUGAAAUCACUAGACCGUUUCUGACACC